UGCCAGCAGCCGCGGUAAUACGUAAGGGGCGAGCGUUAUCCGGAUUUACUGGGCAUAAAGCGCGCGUAGGUGGCAUUUUAAGUCAGACGUUAAAUACUGUGGCUCAACCACAGUCUGCGUUUGAAACUGAAUUGCUAGAGUGCAGGAGAGGGAAGCGGAACUCAUGGUGUAGCGGUGAAAUGCGUAGAUAUCAUGAGGAACACCAGUUGCGAAGGCGGCUUUCUGGACCGAUACUGACGCUGAGACGCGAAAGCGUGGGGAGCGAACGGGAUUAGAUA
rnacentral:rRNA from 1 species